rnacentral:rRNA from 1 species
UGGGGAACCUGCCCCAUAGUCUGGGAUACCACUUGGAAACAGGUGCUAAUACCGGAUAAGAAAGCAGAUCGCAUGAUCAGCUUUUAAAAGGCGGCGUAAGCUGUCGCUAUGGGAUGGCCCCGCGGUGCAUUAGCUAGUUGGUAAGGUAAAGGCUUACCAAGGCGAUGAUGCAUAGCCGAGUUGAGAGACUGAUCGGCCACAUUGGGACUGAGACACGGCCCAAACUCCUACGGGAGGCAGCAGUA